rnacentral:rRNA from 1 species
UCAUCUUCGGGGGUAGAGCACUGUUUCGGCUAGGGGGUCAUCCCGACUUACCAACCCGAUGCAAACUGCGAAUACCGAAGAAUGUUAUCACGGGAGACACACGGCGGGUGCUAACGUCCGUCGUGAAGAGGGAAACAACCCAGACCGCCAGCUAAGGUCCCAAAGUCACAGUUAAGUGGGAAACGAUGUGGGAAGGCACAGACAGCCAGGAUGUUGGCUUAGAAGCAGCCAUCAUUUAAAGAAAGCGUAAUAGCUCACUGGUCGAGUCGGCCUGCGCGGAAGAUGUAACGGGGCUAAACUGUGCACCGAAGCUGCGGCAGCGACACUAUGUGUUGUUGGGUAGGGGAGCGUUCUGUAAGCCGUUGAAGGUGUGUCGUGAGGCAUGCUGGAGGUAUCAGAAGUGCGAAUGCUGACAUAAGUAACGAUAAUGCGGGUGAAAAACCCGCACGCCGGAAGACCAAGGGUUCCUGUCCAACGUUAAUCGGGGCAGGGUGAGUCGACCCCUAAGGCGAGGCCGAAAGGCGUAGUCGAUGGGAAACAGGUUAAUAUUCCUGUACUUGGUGUUACUGCGAAGGGGGGACGGAGAAGGCUAUGUUAGCCGGGCGACGGUUGUCCCGGUUUAAGCAUGUAGGCGGAGGUUCCAGGUAAAUCCGGUACCUUAUUAACGCUGAGGUGUGAUGACGAGGCACUACGGUGCUGAAGUAACAAAUGCCCUGCUUCCAGGAAAAGCCUCUAAGCAUCAGGUAACACGAAAUCGUACCCCAAACCGACACAGGUGGUCAGGUAGAGAAUACCAAGGCGCUUGAGAGAACUCGGGUGAAGGAACUAGGCAAAAUGGUGCCGUAACUUCGGGAGAAGGCACGCUGAUAUGUAGGUGAAGUGGUUUACCCAUGGAGCUGAAAUCAGUCGAAGAUACCAGCUGGCUGCAACUGUUUAUUAAAAACACAGCACUGUGCAAACACGAAAGUGGACGUAUACGGUGUGACGCCUGCCCGGUGCCGGAAGGUUAAUUGAUGGGGUUAUCCGUAAGGAGAAGCUCUUGAUCGAAGCCCCGGUAAACGGCGGCCGUAACUAUAACGGUCCUAAGGUAGCGAAAUUCCUUGUCGGGUAAGUUCCGACCUGCACGAAUGGCGUAAUGAUGGCCAGGCUGUCUCCACCCGAGACUCAGUGAAAUUGAACUCGCUGUGAAGAUGCAGUGUACCCGCGGCAAGACGGAAAGACCCCGUGAACCUUUACUAUAGCUUGACACUGAACACUGGUCCUUGAUGUGUAGGAUAGGUGGGAGGCUUUGAAGUGUGGACGCCAGUCUGCAUGGAGCCAACCUUGAAAUACCACCCUUUAAUGGCUGGUGUUCUAACGUGGACCCGUGAUCCGGGUUGCGGACAGUGUCUGGUGGGUAGUUUGACUGGGGCGGUCUCCUCCUAAAGAGUAACGGAGGAGCACGAAGGUUAGCUAAUCCUGGUCGGACAUCAGGAGGUUAGUGCAAAGGCAUAAGCUAGCUUGACUGCGAGAGUGACGGCUCGAGCAGGUGCGAAAGCAGGUCUUAGUGAUCCGGUGGUUCUGAAUGGAAGGGCCAUCGCUCAACGGAUAAAAGGUACUCCGGGGAUAACAGGCUGAUACCGCCCAAGAGUUCAUAUCGACGGCGGUGUUUGGCACCUCGAUGUCGGCUCAUCACAUCCUGGGGCUGAAGUAGGUCCCAAGGGUAUGGCUGUUCGCCAUUUAAAGUGGUACGCGAGCUGGGUUUAGAACGUCGUGAGACAGUUCGGUCCCUAUCUGCCGUGGGCGCUGGAGAAUUGAGGGGGGCUGCUCCUAGUACGAGAGGACCGGAGUGGACGCAUCACUGGUGUUCGGGUUGUCAUGCCAAUGGCAUUGCCCGGUAGCUAAAUGCGGAAGAGAUAAGUGCUGAAAGCAUCUAAGCACGAAACUUGCCCCGAGAUGAGUUCUCCCUGAGACUAUAAGUCUCCUGAAGGAACGUUGAAGACGACGACGUUGAUAGGUCGGGUGUGUAAGUGUAGCGAUACAUUGAGCUAACCGAUACUAAUGAACCGUGAGGCUUAACCUU